UACAGAGGGUGCAAGCGUUGCUCGGAAUCAUUGGGCGUAAAGGGCAUGUAGGUGGUCUCAUUUGUCUGGGGUGAAAGCCUUCGGCUUAACCGAAGAAGUGCCUCAGAAACGGUGAGACUAGAGUCUUGGAGAGGUUAGCGGAAUUCCCGGUGUAGCGGUGAAAUGCGUAGAGAUCGGGAGGAACACCAGCGGCGAAGGCGGCUAACUGGACAAGUACUGAUACUCAACUGCGAAAGCGUGGGGAGCAAACAGG
rnacentral:rRNA from 1 species